UACGGAGGAUGCGAGCGUUAUCCGGAUUUAUUGGGUGUAAAGGGCGUGUAGGCGGGAGCGCAAGUCAGAUGUGAAAACUCAGGGCUCAACCCUGAGCCUGCAUUUGAAACUGUGUUUCUUGAGUGCUGGAGAGGCAAUCGGAAUUCCGUGUGUAGCGGUGAAAUGCGUAGAUAUACGGAGGAACACCAGUGGCGAAGGCGGAUUGCUGGACAGUAACUGACGCUGAGGCGCGAAAGCGUGGGGAGCAAACAGG
rnacentral:rRNA from 1 species